rnacentral:rRNA from 1 species
AUGAGGCCUCCAAGAGAAAAAAAUUGGAAGGUGCAGGAGGCGCUCAAGCACAAUGCGUGGAUCCUCAAAAUCAAACCCCCCACCGUUGUUUCUGUUGAGCACAUCACACAGUUCUUCGCUCUUUGGAUGCUCCUCCUUGAGGUCCAUCUCGACGAUCUCACCGAGGACGACAUCCUUUGGAAACAUACGGCAAGUGGGCAAUACUCGGAGGCCUCCGCAUACAAGGCGCAACACCUAGGGAUGGUCCUCUCACCCAUGGAUAAGAUGGUUUGGAAGGCUUGGACACCUUCAAAAAUCAAAUUCUUUGCUUGGUUGGCGCUCCAAGAUAGAAUUUGGACCGCCGAUAGGUUGGCAAAGCAUGGGUGGCCAAAUUGUGAUCUUUGCCCUUUUUGCAAGAGGGUGCAAGAAUGCGGACCUCACCUCUUCUAUAAAUGCCGCUAUACUCGAAGGCUUUGGUCAUUGGUCAUCGAGAAAUUCCUCAUUCUCGGGCUAGACACUUCCGCUUGGCCCUUCUUUGACUCGGUUAAAGAUUGGUGGGCGAGUACUUGCGCCGACGGCACGCCAAACCGACAAGCCAAGGCAUCCCUCACCAUGCUCGUGUGA